UAGUGGCGAACGGGUGAGUAACACGUGGGCAAUCUGCCCUUCACUCUGGGACAAGCCCUGGAAACGGGGUCUAAUACCGGAUAACACUCUGUCCCGCAUGGGACGGGGUUGAAAGCUCCGGCGGUGAAGGAUGAGCCCGCGGCCUAUCAGCUUGUUGGUGGGGUGAUGGCCUACCAAGGCGACGACGGGUAGCCGGCCUGAGAGGGCGACCGGCCACACUGGGACUGAGACACGGCCCAGACUCCUACGGGAGGCAGCAGUGGGGAAUAUUGCACAAUGGGCGAAAGCCUGAUGCAGCGACGCCGCGUGAGGGAUGACGGCCUUCGGGUUGUAAACCUCUUUCAGCAGGGAAGAAGCGAGAGUGACGGUACCUGCAGAAGAAGCGCCGGCUAACUACGUGCCAGCAGCCGCGGUAAUACGUAGGGCGCAAGCGUUGUCCGGAAUUAUUGGGCGUAAAGAGCUCGUAGGCGGCUUGUCACGUCGGAUGUGAAAGCCCGGGGCUUAACCCCGC
rnacentral:rRNA from 1 species